UCCAGUGUGGUGUAGUGGUUUGAGCAUUAGACUACAAUUCUGGAAACCAGGGUUCAAAUCCAUACUCAGCCAUGGAA
rnacentral:tRNA from 1 species